rnacentral:rRNA from 1 species
AGCAGUAGCCGCGGGAAUACGUAGGUGGCGAGCGUUGUCCGGAAUCAUUGGGCGUAAAGGGAGCGCAGGCGGGCAUGUAAGUCUUUCUUAAAAGUUCGGGGCUCAACCCCGUGAUGGGAAAGAAACUACAUGUCUUGAGUACAGGAGAGGAAAGCGGAAUUCCCAGUGUAGCGGCGAAAUGCGUAGAUAUUGGGAGGAACACCAGUGGCGAAGGCGGCUUUCUGGACUGCAACUGACGCUGAGGCUCGAAAGCCAGGGGAGCGAACGGGAUUAGAUACCCCAGUAGUCCCUGUCUCUUAUACA